rnacentral:rRNA from 1 species
AACGAACGCUGGCGGCAGGCUUAACACAUGUAAGUCGAACGCAUCCUUCGGGGUGAGUGGCAGACGGGUGAGUAACGCGUGGGAACGUGCCCUUCAGUUCGGGAUAACCCAGGGAAACUUGGGCUAAUACCGGAUACGUGCGAGAGCAGAAAGAUUUAUCGCUGAAGGAUCGGCCCGCGUCUGAUUAGCUAGUUGGUGGGGUAAUGGCCCACCAAGGCGACGAUCAGUAGCUGGUCUGAGAGGAUGAUCAGCCACAUUGGGACUGAGACACGGCCCAAACUCCUACGGGAGGCAGCAGUGGCGAAUAUUGGACAAUGGGCGCAAGCCUGAUCCAGCCAUGCCGCGUGCGUGAUGAAGGCCUUAGGGUUGUAAAGCUCUUUCGUCCGGGACGAUAAUGACGGUACCGGAAGAAGAAGCCCCGGCUAGCUUCGUGCCAGCCGCCGCGGUAA